GGACUACUGGGGUAUCUAAUCCUGUUUGCUCCCCACGCUUUCGCUCCUCAGCGUCAGUACCGGUCCAGUGAGCCGCCUUCGCCACUGGUGUUCUUGCUAAUAUCUACGAAUUUCACCUCUACACUAGCAGUUCCACUCACCUCUACCGGACUCAAGAUACCCAGUAUCAAAGGCAGUUCUGGAGUUGAGCUCCAGGCUUUCACCUCUGACUUAAAUAUCCGCCUACGAGCGCUUUACGCCCAGUGAUUCCGAACAACGCUAGCCCCCUUCGUAUUACCGCGGCUGCUGGCAC
rnacentral:rRNA from 1 species